GGGGCUUCAGAUAAUUCCUGAUCGAAGAAACUGUAUACCAAAAAAACUUCUGAGCCUUUUUUUUUUAGCAAAAAAAAAAAAAAAAAAAAAAAAAAAAAA
rnacentral:snoRNA from 1 species